CGGUUUGCAGUUAACAAGGUUUUACAUGAUGGAACUCUAAGUAGAAUACGCAGAAUGGAUUGCUUUCUGAAAUAAUACUUACUUGUUUUGCACUUAAAAAAUUUAUGUAUGUGUGUUGUACAGUGGUGGAUGACCGGUUAGAGCUGGAAAACUGGAAGAACAGGAUGCAGAGAAGUAGUUCAGAUUCACUUUAUCCAUUGUGACGAGAAACUGAUCUAACAAUGCAAACUUGCGAGAUAUUAUAAUUUUAUAAUCAAUGGACAUGAAGAUAAAAGCAACAUUAUUUUGAUUAACAUUUCACCAAAAACAAUGAGCAAACACACAUGUGAAUAUCACUAAAAAAUACAUACAUAAUAUAUUGCCUUACUAAAUGUUAAGAGAAAGAUCAUGUUUGAUGUUUAUAUAUAAAAUAAUUAAUCACAACAGACCAGUGUGAUAAUACAUACGCACAGUUAAUCAUACACACUUGGUACUCAUCUUUUCAUCUUUCUAUUUUGCCGUUCUUGAAUUCUUACUCUAUAGCGUGUAUGAUUUGGCAUAGUUAAAAAGCGAAGACACCAAAUAUUAUUUAAAUAGUUCUAUGUAAUAUUUGAGUUAACGUAUUUGUGGUGUAUAAGUUGUUCUCGCGUGUAGCUUGCCCGACCCCUACUGUUUUAUAACAAUAUUAUGUGGGGUAAAAAUACAACUUUAAUAUGUUUCAACGUACGCGCAGGCGUCCCUGAACGGU
rnacentral:lncRNA from 1 species